AAAAAGGCUCUUAUGAGAGCUACCUAUGUUUCAAAAACUAUUGAA
rfam:Alligator mississippiensis ScZkoYb_106, whole genome shotgun sequence.